UACGUAGGGACCAAGCGUUGUUCGGAUUUACUGGGCGUAAAGCGUGCGCAGGCGGCUCUGUAAGUCACUUGUGAAAUCUCUGAGCUUAACUCAGAACGGCCAAGUGAUACUGCAGUGCUAGAGUGUAGAAGGGGCAAUCGGAAUUCUUGGUGUAGCGGUGAAAUGCGUAGAUAUCAAGAGGAACACCUGAGGUGAAGGCGGGUUGCUGGUCUAACACUGACGCUGAGGCGCGAAAGCCUGGGGAGCAAACGGG
rnacentral:rRNA from 1 species